rnacentral:misc_RNA from 1 species
AACCCUCAAAACAAAUCUUUUGUUAACUCGAUCGAUUUUGUUUUGGACUUGGAGGUCUGCAGAUUCACGUCUGCUCCUCUUAAAUACAUUAGCUGGAUCUCUGAGAACUCGGUUCCACUCGGCGUGAUAAGUAUCACUCGCUGAGGACACUCGUAAAAAAGUGGCCGGGGCUCACUGUAGAACCGCUUCUAAUAGUCCAUUGACUUGGACAAUUACACUUUAUG